AUUGAACGCUGGCGGCAGGCUUAACACAUGCAAGUCGAGCGGAGCGAGGGUGCUUGCACCUUAGCUUAGCGGCGGACGGGUGAGUAAUGCUUAGGAAUCUGCCUAUUAGUGGGGGACAACAUUCCGAAAGGGAUGCUAAUACCGCAUACGCCCUACGGGGGAAAGCAGGGGAUCUUCGGACCUUGCGCUAAUAGAUGAGCCUAAGUCGGAUUAGCUAGUUGGUGGGGUAAAGGCCUACCAAGGCGACGAUCUGUAGCGGGUCUGAGAGGAUGAUCCGCCACACUGGGACUGAGACACGGCCCAGACUCCUACGGGAGGCAGCAGUGGGGAAUAUUGGACAAUGGGCGGAAGCCUGAUCCAGCCAUGCCGCGUGUGUGAAGAAGGCCUUUUGGUUGUAAAGCACUUUAAGCGAGGAGGAGGCUACUAGUAUUAAUACUACUGGAUAGUGGACGUUACUCGCAGAAUAAGCACCGGCUAACUCUGUGCCAGCCGCCGCCGUAACAC
rnacentral:rRNA from 1 species